rnacentral:lncRNA from 1 species
GAUCUAUGCGUGAAAUUUUGUGGAUUUAUGGUUAUAGUUGUGUUUAAUAUGUGUCGUGAAUUUGAGCUUGAUCUAACGGUUGAAUUGAGGAAUAUUGAGGUUUAAUUAGGUCAAGGUCUUAGAAAGUAGAAUUUUAGGUCUAGUAGGGGUUUUUGAGAUUUCUUGCAAUCUAUUGGUUGGAUUGGAGUGAAACUUAUGUGAGAGGAUAUUAGACUUGUUUUACUAUGCAUAUGAGAAUUUUGAAAUCAA